CCCCGCCGCCACAGCGCCGCCACCCCCGCGCCGACAGCAGGAAGGAGGAGAUGGCCGCCGCCGCCGCCGGCCGGCAACACGCGGCACUGCCAACCGUUCCCCCGUGCGCGGGUUCCGGCCCCCGCAUCCCCGCUGGCUGGCACGGGGACACGCACUGGGUUGGGCUGGGAGCUGGGAGGGACUUUCCAAAACCAUACAGUCUGACCCCCAUGCCACGGGCAGGGACACUUUCCUCCAGACCAGCAAAUGAAGAUUUCAUGAAACAGAUGUGCAGUGCUGCUGUGUGUGCUGAUGUCUCCUGAUCAGCCUCGGACCUGGCUGCUGCUCUGAGGGACAUCCAGAUAUAGGAUGAAAAAAUCGCAGCCAAGAACCUGCAGGAAAUGAAUGAGUGGUACAAAACCAGAUUUCCUGACUUUAAUCAAGCUUCCACAAAACAUGCUGAGAAUGUGAGACAUUUCAGGGAAGGAAGAGGAAAAGAAGUAUCAAGCGCUGGAUUCGGUGGGAGCUUAACAGGCAAAACCACCACCGUUUUCACCUCCCGACUACCGAACCGCGGGCGUCCGCCGCUGGAGCGGGUCGGCGCCUUCCCUCGUCCGCGCCCCGGCUCCCCGCUCCUGUCCUGGCACUGAUGGCACUUGCUUCUCCCGAGGUCCUUGGCAUCCUCCUACGAAACAUAAGCUCCAGCUAUCUCGUUGCUGUUACCGUACUAUAACGCUGCCCCUUAGGGAGAAGAUUUACAGAAAUUAAGUGCCUCGUUUUACAGCUGCAACUCUUCUGUAAACACAGGGCUGAUUUUAAAAGAGAUGAACCUCCCUGUAAGCUCUUGAGUAAAAUGCAACAAAUCUA